AACAAACGCUGGCGGCAUGCCUAACACAUGCAAGUCGAACGAGACCUUCGGGUCUAGUGGCGCACGGGUGCGUAACGCGUGGGAACCUGCCCUUAGGUUCGGAAUAACUCCCCGAAAGGGGUGCUAAUACCGGAUAAUGUCUUCGGACCAAAGAUUUAUCGCCUUUGGAUGGGCCCGCGUUGGAUUAGCUAGUUGGUAGGGUAAAAGCCUACCAAGGCGACGAUCCAUAGCUGGUCUGAGAGGAUGAUCAGCCACACUGGGACUGAGACACGGCCCAGACUCCUACGGGAGGCAGCAGUGGGGAAUAUUGGACAAUGGGCGAGAGCCUGAUCCAGCAAUGCCGCGUGAGUGAUGAAGGCCUUAGGGUUGUAAAGCUCUUUUACCCGGGAUGAUAAUGACAGUACCGGGAGAAUAAGCUCCGGCUAACUCCGUG
rnacentral:rRNA from 1 species